UUUACAUUUCCAAGGGCUAUCUUAA
rnacentral:piRNA from 1 species